GACACAAAACCAGUUAGAACUUCAUAAGGCGCAAUCAGUGUCCCUGCUCGGAACAAACAAGAGAGACAGAGACACAGAGAGAGAGACAGAGACAGAGAUGGAGGCAGAAGCAGAAGGAGCCCUGCUGUGGGUGAACACAGUGUGGCAGGUGACUACUGUCCCGACCUCAGUCUCCACAGUAGACUGACAUUGCAGACUAAUUUGAAAUUCAUCUGGAGUCACAUGAUAUGGCUAGCUACAGAGAGGAAUGCAGAGCUGCAUAAAACUCCCCUAAUGAUGAUCUCUAGCGUGCCAGAGAGGUCAUCUCUUGGAGAAGCCUCUCCUGACUUUCCAGCUUAGAAGAGGUCCCUUAUCCUGCACGCCCAUGGCUCACUCUAUCCAACUUCCUUUCCUGAGGAAGGAUGGAAGGAAGGGAGGAAAAGAGAAGCAAAAGGAUUUAAGCUGUAUGCCGCACAUGGACCAGCUCUCCACGAUGAAUGCAAUCAUAUGUACUGCAACAUGGACUAAUAAAAAUAAAAUUGAAAGAAGAACUUUCCUAGCACAGCUCAUGGUGAGCAGUUGUGUAUCUGUGUGAUUACUGCAUGUGUUUAUCCCUCUCAUGCAUCAGGGACCUGAUAGCUGUACCCACCUGUAACUCUUGAGAUAUACUUACUGCAUGGGUAAACUUCUGAAUGUGGACCCAGGAGACCUCCUUUGAGCCAUGUGACCUCAGAUAUAUAGCAUUCUUCACUCUCCUGGGACUCAGCUUCACCAU